rnacentral:rRNA from 1 species
UACGUAGGGUGCAGGCGUUAAUCGGAAUUACUGGGCGUAAAGCGUGCGCAGGCGGUUUGCUAAGACAGGUGUGAAAUCCCCGGGCUUAACCUGGGAACUGCGCUUGUAACUGGCAAGCUAGAGUGUGGCAGAGGGGGGGUGGAAUUCCACGUGUAGCAGUGAAAUGCGCAGAGAUCGGGAGGAACACCCGUAGCGAAGGCGGCACUCUGGGCCGGUACUGACGCUGAGGAGCGAAAGCGUGGGGAGCAAACAGG